rnacentral:rRNA from 1 species
AUUGAACGCUGGCGGCAGGCUUAACACAUGCAAGUCGAACAAAUGGCGGACGGGUGAGUGAUGCUUGGGAAUCUAGCUUAUGGAGGGGGAUAACUACGGGAAACUGUAGCUAAUACCGCGUACCAUAGGAUGAGCCCAAGUGGGAUUAGGUAGUUGGUGAGGUAAAGGCUCACAAAGCCGAAGAUGUCCAGCUGGUCUGAGAGGAGGACCAGCCACACUGGUACUGAGACACGGCCCAGACUCCUACGGUAGGCAGCAGUGGGGAAGAUUGCGCAAUGUGGGCAACCGGACGAAGCCAUGCCGCGGGAAUGAAGAAGGCCUGCGGGUUGUAAAGUUCUGUCGGUAGCGAGGCGUUAACUACAGAAGAAGCACCGGCUAACUCCGUGCCAGCCGCCGCGGUAAUAC